GUUGUAUGGUUAAGUGACUAAGCGUACACGGUGGAUGCCUUGGCAGUCAGAGGCGAUGAAAGACGUAGUAACUUGCGAUAAGCCCAGAUUAGGUAGUAACAACCAUUUGAGUCUGGGAUUUCUGAAUGGGGAAACCCACGUGCAUAAGCACGUAUCCUUACCUGAAUACAUAGGGUAAGGAGGCGAACCGGGGGAACUGAAACAUCUAAGUACCCCGAGGAAAAGAAAUCAACCGAGAUUCCGAAAGUAGCGGCGAGCGAAAUUGGACUAGCCCUUAAGCUUUACACGCGUUAGACGAACGGUCUGGAAAGUCCGACGAUACAGGGUGAUAGUCCCGUAGUUGACGACGUGUGUUCAGUGAAAUCGAGUAGGGCGGGACACGUGAUAUCCUGUCUGAAUAUGGGGGGACCAUCCUCCAAGGCUAAAUACUACUGACUGACCGAUAGUGAACCAGUACCGUGAGGGAAAGGCGAAAAGAACCCCUGUGAGGGGAGUGAAAUAGAACCUGAAACCGUGUACGUACAAGCAGUAGGAGCAGGCUUUGUCCUGUGACUGCGUACCUUUUGUAUAAUGGGUCAGCGACUUAUAUUCAGUGGCAAGGUUAACCAUCUAGGGGAGCCGUAGGGAAACCGAGUCUUAACUGGGCGUUCAGUCUCUGGAUAUAGACCCGAAACCAGGUGAUCUAGCCAUGGGCAGGUUGAAGGUUGAGUAACAUCAACUGGAGGACCGAACCGACUAAUGUUGAAAAAUUAGCGGAUGACUUGUGGCUAGGGGUGAAAGGCCAAUCAAACCUGGAGAUAGCUGGUUCUCCCCGAAAGCUAUUUAGGUAGCGCCUCGGACGAAUACUACUGGGGGUAGAGCACUGUUAAGGCUAGGGGGUCAUCCCGACUUACCAACCCUUUGCAAACUCCGAAUACCAGUAAGUACUAUCCGGGAGACACACGGCGGGUGCUAACGUCCGUCGUGGAGAGGGAAACAACCCAGACCGCCAGCUAAGGUCCCAAAUUACUACUAAGUGGGAAACGAUGUGGGAAGGCUCAGACAGCCAGGAUGUUGGCUUAGAAGCAGCCAUCAUUUAAAGAAAGCGUAAUAGCUCACUGGUCGAGUCGGCCUGCGCGGAAGAUGUAACGGGGCUAAGUAGUAAACCGAAGCUGCGGCAAUAUACUUUUGUAUAUUGGGUAGGGGAGCGUUCUGUAAGCGGUUGAAGGUGUGUGGUAACGCAUGCUGGACGUAUCAGAAGUGCGAAUGCUGACAUGAGUAACGAUAAAGGGGGUGAAAAACCUCCUCGCCGGAAGACCAAGGGUUCCUGUCCAACGUUAAUCGGGGCAGGGUAAGUCGACCCCUAAGGCGAGGCCGAAAGGCGUAGUCGAUGGGAAACGGGUUAAUAUUCCCGUACUUCUUACAAUUGCGAUGGGGGGACGGAGAAGGCUAGGUGGGCCUGGCGACGGUUGUCCAGGUUCAAGUGCGUAGGCUUAAGAGUUAGGUAAAUCCGGCUCUUUCUAAGGCUGAGACACGACGUCGAGCAUCUACGGAUGUGAAGUCAUUGAUGCCAUGCUUCCAGGAAAAGCCUCUAAGCUUCAGAUUGUAAGGAAUCGUACCCCAAACCGACACAGGUGGUCGGGUAGAGAAUACCAAGGCGCUUGAGAGAACUCGGGUGAAGGAACUAGGCAAAAUGGUACCGUAACUUCGGGAGAAGGUACGCUCUUGAUGGUGAAGUCCCUCGCGGAUGGAGCUGACGAGAGUCGCAGAUACCAGGUGGCUGCAACUGUUUAUUAAAAACACAGCACUGUGCAAAAUCGUAAGAUGACGUAUACGGUGUGACGCCUGCCCGGUGCCGGAAGGUUAAUUGAUGGGGUUAGACUUCGGUCGAAGCUCUUGAUCGAAGCCCCGGUAAACGGCGGCCGUAACUAUAACGGUCCUAAGGUAGCGAAAUUCCUUGUCGGGUAAGUUCCGACCUGCACGAAUGGCGUAAUGAUGGCCACGCUGUCUCCACCCGAGACUCAGUGAAAUUGAAAUCGCUGUGAAGAUGCAGUGUACCCGCGGCUAGACGGAAAGACCCCGUGAACCUUUACUACAGCUUGGCACUGAACAUUGACCCUACAUGUGUAGGAUAGGUGGGAGGCUUUGAAGCACGUACGCCAGUAUGUGUGGAGCCGUCCUUGAAAUACCACCCUUGUAGUGUUGAUGUUCUAACGUCGACCCCUUAUCGGGGUUGCGGACAGUGCCUGGUGGGUAGUUUGACUGGGGCGGUCUCCUCCCAAAGAGUAACGGAGGAGCACGAAGGUGGGCUAAUCACGGUUGGACAUCGUGAGGUUAGUGCAAUGGCAUAAGCCCGCUUGACUGCGAGAAUGACAAUUCGAGCAGGUGCGAAAGCAGGUCAUAGUGAUCCGGUGGUUCUGAAUGGAAGGGCCAUCGCUCAACGGAUAAAAGGUACUCCGGGGAUAACAGGCUGAUACCGCCCAAGAGUUCAUAUCGACGGCGGUGUUUGGCACCUCGAUGUCGGCUCAUCACAUCCUGGGGCUGAAGUCGGUCCCAAGGGUAUGGCUGUUCGCCAUUUAAAGUGGUACGCGAGCUGGGUUUAGAACGUCGUGAGACAGUUCGGUCCCUAUCUGCCGUGGGCGUUGGAAGAUUGAAGGGGGCUGCUCCUAGUACGAGAGGACCGGAGUGGACGAACCUCUGGUGUUCGGGUUGUGUCGCCAGACGCAUUGCCCGGUAGCUAAGUUCGGAAUCGAUAACCGCUGAAAGCAUCUAAGCGGGAAGCGAGCCCUGAGAUGAGUCUUCCCUGAUACUUUAAGUAUCCUAAAGGGUUGUCGGAGACUACGACGUUGAUAGGUCAGGUGUGUAAGUGCUGUGAGGCAUUGAGCUAACUGAUACUAAUUGCCCGUGAGGCUUAACCAUACAACACCCAAGGGGUUU
rnacentral:rRNA from 1 species